rnacentral:rRNA from 1 species
GGCGGCGUGCUUAACACAUGCAAGUCGAGCGGAAAGGCCCUUCGGGGGUACUCGAGCGGCGAACGGGUGAGUAACACGUGAGCAACCUGCCCCUGACUCUGGGAUAAGCCCGGGAAUGGGGUCUAAUACCGGAUAUGACCACGGGUUCGCAUGCCCUUGUGGUGGAAAGUUUUUCGGUUGGGGAUGGGCUCGCGGCCUAUCAGCUUGUUGGUGGGGUGAUGGCCUACCAAGGCGACGACGGGUAACCGGCCUGAGAGGGCGACCGGUCACACUGGGACUGAGACACGGCCCAGACUCCUACGGGAGGCAGCAGUGGGGAAUAUUGCGCAAUGGGCGGAAGCCUGACGCAGCGACGCCGCGUGGGGGAUGACGGCCUUCGGGUUGUAAACCUCUUUCAGCAGGGACGAAGCUAACGUGACGGUACCUGCAGAAGAAGCGCCGGCUAACUACGUGCCAGCAGCCGCGGUAAUACGUAGGGCGCAAGCGUUGUCCGGAAUUAUUGGGCGUAAAGAGCUCGUAGGCGGUUUGUCGCGUCUGUCGUGAAAGCCCACGGCUUAACUGUGGGUCUGCGGUGGAUACGGGCAGACUAGAGGCAGGUAGGGGAGAAUGGAAUUCCCGGUGUAGCGGUGAAAUGCGCAGAUAUCGGGAGGAACACCGGUGGCGAAGGCGGUUCUCUGGGCCUGUACUGACGCUGAGGAGCGAAAGCGUGGGGAGCGAACAGGAUUAGAUACCCUGGUAGUCCACGCCGUAAACGUUGGGCGCUAGGUGUGGGGUCCUUCCACGGAUUCCGCGCCGCAGCUAACGCAUUAAGCGCCCCGCCUGGGGAGUACGGCCGC